rnacentral:rRNA from 1 species
AGUUUGAUCCUGGCUCAGGAUGAACGCUGGCGGCGUGCUUAACACAUGCAAGUCGAACGAGCCUUCGGGCUAGUGGCGGACGGGUGAGUAACGCGUGGGAAUCUGCCCUCAGGAGGGGGAUAACGGCCGGAAACGGCCGCUAAUACCCCAUAUGCCGAGAGGUGAAACGAAUUUCGCCUGAGGAUGAGCCCGCGUCUGAUUAGCUAGUUGGUGAGGUAAUGGCCCACCAAGGCGACGAUCAGUAGCUGGUCUGAGAGGAUGAUCAGCCACACUGGGACUGAGACACGGCCCAGACUCCUACGGGAGGCAGCAGUGGGGAAUUUUCCGCAAUGGGCGAAAGCCUGACGGAGCAACGCCGCGUGAGGGAUGAAGGCCUCUGGGCUGUAAACCUCUUUUCUCAAGGAAGAAGACAUGACGGUACUUGAGGAAUAAGCCACGGCUAAUUCCGUGCCAGCAGCCGCGGUAAUACGGGAGUGGCAAGCGUUAUCCGGAAUUAUUGGGCGUAAAGCGUCCGCAGGCGGCCUUGUAAGUCUGUCGUUAAAGCGUGGAGCUUAACUCCAUUUCAGCGAUGGAAACUACAAUGCUUGAGUGUGGUAAGGGCAGAGGGAAUUCCCGGUGUAGCGGUGAAAUGCGUAGAUAUCGGGAAGAACACCAGUGGCGAAGGCGCUCUGCUGGGCCAUAACUGACGCUCAUGGACGAAAGCCAGGGGAGCGAAAGGGAUUAGAUACCCCUGUAGUCCUGGCCGUAAACGAUGAACACUAGGUGUCGGGGGAAUCGACCCCCUCGGUGUCGUAGCUAACGCGUUAAGUGUUCCGCCUGGGGAGUACGCACGCAAGUGUGAAACUCAAAGGAAUUGACGGGGGCCCGCACAAGCGGUGGAGUAUGUGGUUUAAUUCGAUGCAACGCGAAGAACCUUACCAGGGUUUGACAUCCUGCGAAUCCCUUGGAAACGAGGGAGUGCCUUCGGGAGCGCAGAGACAGGUGGUGCAUGGCUGUCGUCAGCUCGUGUCGUGAGAUGUUGGGUUAAGUCCCGCAACGAGCGCAACCCACGUCUUUAGUUGCCAGCAUUCAGUUGGGCACUCUAGAGAGACCGCCGGUGAUAAACCGGAGGAAGGUGUGGAUGACGUCAAGUCAUCAUGCCCCUUACAUCCUGGGCUACACACGUACUACAAUGCUACGGACAAAGGGUUGCAAGCUCGCGAGAGUUAGCUAAUCCCAUAAACCGUGGCUCAGUUCAGAUCGUAGGCUGCAACUCGCCUACGUGAAGGAGGAAUCGCUAGUAAUCGCAGGUCAGCAUACUGCGGUGAAUACGUUCCCGGGCCUUGUACACACCGCCCGUCACACCAUGGAAGUUGGCCAUGCCCGAAGUCGUUACUCCAACCCUUGUGGAGGAGGACGCCGAAGGUGGGGCUGAUGACUGGGGUGAAGUCGUAACAAGGUAACCGU